UCGAGAAUCUUCCGCAAUGCGCGAAAGCGUGACGGAGCGAUACCGCGUGAAGGAUGAAGCGUUUCGGCGUGUAAACUUCUUUUAUGAAUGAAGAAGCAUAUUGACAUUAGUUCAUGAAUAAGGGGCUCCUAACUCUGUGCCAGCAGGAGCGGUAAUACAGAGGCCCCAAGCGUUGUCCGAAAUUACUGGGCGUAAAGGGUGCGUAGGUGGAUAUAUUAGUCGAGUGUGAAAGACCCGUGCUUAACAUGGGGAACGCAUUCGAAACGGUAUGUCUUGAGUGCGUAAGAGGUACAUGGAACUCUCGGUGUAGGGGUGAAAUCCGUUGAUAUCGAGGGGAACACCAAAUGCGAAGGCAAUGUACUAGUACGUAACUGACACUGAGGCACGAAACCGUGGGUAG
rnacentral:rRNA from 1 species